GGUCCGUUAGCUUAGUCGGAAGAGCGUGGUGCUGAUAACGCCAAGGUUGUGAGUUCAAGUCUCACACGGACCA
rnacentral:tRNA from 1 species